CCCUCUCCGCCAGCGUUAUCUCCGUCAUCGCCUCCUGUCAAAGCACUCAAUGAUUGGGCCGCGUUCAUGAAGCAGUCCUUUAUAUCGCAACGAGUUUGAAACAAGGUACAAAUUUGACUGCAACCCCGACAGCCGUGCGGCCUUUGGAUAGCACACCUUUGACUUUUUCUGCGACUUCCAUCAUACCCUGUGCGUCUGCUGUGGAUGUCCGAAAAAAGUAGAAGGCUAUUCCUGAAAUUAGACAAGGAAACAACAUCACUUUAACGGCCUGCCACCCACAGUAUCUAAUUCUUGUUGUUCUUACAAUAUUCCUGUGCUUCUAAACACAGAGAUAUCUAGUUGAAGCAUGAAAAAGGUCAUGGACACAGAUCAUCAUCGCCCAGUUUAGUAAGCGAGAAACUUUGGGCUUGACUCUUAGAUGCGUCAUGGCAUUCUACUCGAAUGAACUAGAAAGCAGCUGAUCAACUAGAUCUGAGGGGUGUCUCGUCAUUUCUCGUUUACCGUAUCGCGCCUUAAGUUGAACUGGGUAAUAUCCACGACCGCUAUAUCCUAGGCACUUCACCUGUGCCGACUGAUUACACAUGCACGAGGUAACGGUAAAAAAUAAAGAUAUUUUCUAUUACCUCGUGCGUUUACUCAGCUGAUUUAAAAGAAAUCCCGUCUAUGCGUAAC